rnacentral:rRNA from 1 species
UGGGGAAUAUUGCACAAUGGGCGCAAGCCUGAUGCAGCCAUGCCGCGUGUAUGAAGAAGGCCUUCGGGUUGUAAAGUACUUUCAGCGGGGGGGAAGGGAGUAAAGUUAAUACCUUUGCUCAUUGACGUUACCCGCAGAAGAAGCACCGGCUAACUCCGUGCCAGCAGCCGCGGUAAUACGGAGGGUGCAAGCGUUAAUCGGAAUUACUGGGCGUAAAGCGCACGCAGGCGGUUUGUUAAGUCAGAUGUGAAAUCCCCGGGCUCAACCUGGGAACUGCAUCUGAUAAUGGCAAGCUUGAGUCUCGUAGAGGAGGGUAGAAUUCCAGGUGUAGCGGUGAAAUGCGUAGAGAUCUGGAGGAAUACCGGUGGCGAAGGCGGCCCCCUGGACGAAGACUGACGCUCAGGUGCGAAAGCGUGGGGAGCAAACAGG